rnacentral:rRNA from 3 species
CUGACCUCAAAUCAGGUAGGACUACCCGCUGAACUUAAGCAUAUCAUA